UACGUAGGGGGCUAGCGUUGUUCGGAAUCACUGGGCGUAAAGGGUGCGUAGGCGGAUUCUUAAGUCAGGGGUGAAAUCCCGAGGCUCAACCUCGGAACUGCCUUUGAUACUGGGGAUCUUGAGUCCGGAAGAGGUGAGUGGAACUGCGAGUGUAGAGGUGAAAUUCGUAGAUAUUCGCAAGAACACCGGUGGCGAAGGCGGCUCACUGGUCCGGAACUGACGCUGAGGCACGACAGCGUGGGGAGCAAACAGG
rnacentral:rRNA from 1 species